CGUACCGCUUCUUCUGAAGUGCGCGCCAGCAACUGUUACGUCGUGGCUUUGCGCUUACCCGUUUUGCGACAGCAGACUACAGCCAGGAAACAGCAACCUUUCUUACCACAAGUUUCCAAUUGACAAUCCCAUCCUCCUGCAAAAAUGGCUUCAAGCCAUGGGUCUGAGAGGCUUUGCUCCAACCAGACGUCAUGCUCUGUGCUCUGCCCACUUCGAGCAAUCUAACUUUUGCGGUGGUCUACAACGACGCCGACUGCGUGAAGGGGCAGUGCCGACUUUGUUUCAACCAAGCAGUGACAACACAAGGGUAGAAGCAUCAGCAGCAACACUUGAAGCUCACUCGAUGUGUUCACCGGAAGGAUGGGCAGCGUUGUAAUCAACCAACACGUUGUGCACAAGAUUUUGGUUGCUCAAUGCUGUGUUGCUCGCAUCUAGGUCUUCUAUGAAGUGCACACUAUGACAUAGUUGCCGGGCCUCAAAUGAGGAAGCGCAUGAAAACACGGACACGAGAAGAAACGAAGACGAAGACAAGCGCUAACUUUCAACAACAAAAUUUAUUUCGUCUGUCUUACUGUGUUUUGCAAGCAAACCAAAAAACUGUGCUUGAUUGUCCUAUUUUCCUUUUGCUACGAUUCCUUCAACUGUCAAUCUUAUGUAAACCCUGGCAACAUUACAAAAAUGAAUGACUACAGCGACACAUAUACACACUGCAUUUAUGUUAAUACUAAUCUCUAAACUAAAAAGUAUAAGGAGUCAAUUUCAUGCGGACAUUAACCAAGUUAAAUUGCAAGGAGCAAUGACAGCACGACACCACCACACACUUCCAGGUUUUGCAAUGCACCAAUUUUAUGAGCAAGGAAUUGGUCAACCUCAUUACUAUAGUGUUUUUCUUUCUUCAUCUGAGCUACAGUAUUUGAAACGCACCAUUUUCUUUUUCAGUUAUCACAUGCAACAUUCUUCCGUCAGUCAAGUGGCACUGCGUUAGUAAACUAGACAGGAAAGUAAGAGCAAUCGCAAGCUGAAAUAUAAAUGAAAGCUGCAAGCUUUCAUAUAAUUAUGAAUGUUGUGCGCCGGAAACGUAUGCUGCAUACCCCCAUAAUCUAACGAACGUAGCUGGUACGGAUUUCUAUGGGCUCGUGUAAAAGCGAGCGUACUUGACACACUACAACGGAACCACAACCGAUCAGACAUCCCACACGUAAGCCAUCACUAGAUGCAGUAUCGCGACGCGUUACAAUGAUCGCAUACGCCGGCCCGAUCAGUCAUCCCAGGAAUUUUAAUGAAAUCCGCCACUGAAACUUAUUUGUGGGGAUAUGCCACGUUUUCUACGUGCUUUAAAGGUUUUAAGCAGAGAAGAUGUGCGUAGUACUGUGCUUUAAAAAUAAUUAUGGGGUUUUACGUGCCAAAACCACGACAUGAUUAUGCGGCACGCCGUAGUGGGGAACUCCGGAAAUUUGGACCACCUGGGGUUCUUUAACGUGCACCUCAAUCUAGUACACGGGUGUUUUCGCAUUUCGCCCCCAUCGAAGUGCGGCCGCCGUGGCCGGGAUUCGAUCCCGCGAGUACUGUGCUUGUAUGUUACCUUCUUUUCGAUCUUCUGAAGUUUGAUAAAGCGGCUAACGCUACGGCGUCAACCUAACACACUUAACAAAGCAGGGUCAAAACAGUCAAAACACGUUCUCUCACCUUUUA